ACGGAAGGCAGCAGUGGGGGAUAUUGCACAAUGGGCGAAAGCCUGAUGCAGCGACGCCGCGUGAGGGAAGACGGUUUUCGGAUUGUAAACCUCUGUCUUCGGGGACGAAAAAGGACGGUACCCGAGGAGGAAGCCACGGCUAACUACGUGCCAGCAGCCGCGGUAAUACGUAGGUUGCAAGCGUUGUCCGGAUUUACUGGGUGUAAAGGGCGUGUAGGCGGAGCUGCAAGUCAGAUGUGAAAUCCCGGGGCUCAACCCCGGAACUGCAUUUGAAACUGUAGCCCUUGAGUAUCGGAGAGGCAAGCGGAAUUCCUAGUGUAGCGGUGAAAUGCGUAGAUAUUAGGAGGAACACCAGUGGCGAAGGCGGCUUGCUGGACGACAACUGACGCUGAGGCGCGAAAGCGUGGGGAGCAAACAGGAUUAGAUACCCUGGUA
rnacentral:rRNA from 1 species